rnacentral:tRNA from 1 species
GCCUCGUUAGCUCAGUUGGUAGAGCGUCAGACUUUUAAUCUAACGGUCAGGCGUUCGAGUACCCUAUGGGGCU